GGGUGACGAGCGGCGGACGGGUGAGUAAUGUCUGGGAAACUGCCUGAUGGAGGGGGAUAACUACUGGAAACGGUAGCUAAUACCGCAUAACGUCGCAAGACCAAAGAGGGGGACCUUCGGGCCUCUUGCCAUCAGAUGUGCCCAGAUAGGAUUAGCUAGUAGUGGAGUAACGGCUCACCUAGCGACGAUCCCUACUGGUCUGAAGGAUGACCAGCCACACUGGAACUGAGACACGGUCCAGACUCCUACGGGAGGCAGCAGUGGGGAAUAUUGCACAAUGGGCGCAAGCCUGAUGCAGCCAUGCCGCGUGUAUAAAGAAGGCCUUCGGGUUGUAAAGUACUUUCAGCGGGGAGGAAGGUGUUGUGGUUAAUAACCACAGCAAUUGACGUUACCCGCAGAAGAAGCACCGGCUAACUCCGUGCCACAGCCGCGGUAAUACGGAGGGUGCAAGCGUUAAUCGGAAUUACUGGGCGUAAAGCGCACGCAGGCGGUCUGUCAAAGUCGGGAUGUGAAAUCCCCGGGCUCAACCUGGGAACUGCAUUCGAAACUGGCAGGCUAGGUCUUGUAAGGGGGGUAGAAUUCCAGGUGUAGCGGUGAAAU
rnacentral:rRNA from 1 species